UACGUAGGGGGCAAGCGCUAUCCGGAUUUACUGGGUGUAAAGGGAGCGUAGACGGCGCGGCAAGUCUGAAGUGAAAGGCAGGGGCUUAACCCCUGAACUGCUUUGGAAACUGCCAUGCUAGAGUGCUGGAGAGGUAAGUGGAAUUCCUAGUGUAGCGGUGAAAUGCGUAGAUAUUAGGAGGAACACCAGUGGCGAAGGCGGCUUACUGGACAGUAACUGACGUUGAGGCUCGAAAGCGUGGGGAGCAAACAGG
rnacentral:rRNA from 1 species